GGCUCUAGAAUCUAGAUGCUGUGUCAUUUUUAUUUCUAGAUUCCAACAAAACCUCGUCACUCUCUGCACUUGUCACAUGAGCAGAGGAUAUCAACAAUGGCUACUUCCUCUCUGUACUCUCAUCUUCUUUAUCUGCCAUCUCCUCCGAAGCUGGGUUCUUCCAAAUCCCUAUUUUUCUCUUCCUCUUGCGGUGGAAAUGCGAAACCUUUCGUUUUAUUCAAAGGCACAGCCUCCUCCCGGACUCGCAUCGCCUCUUCUUCUUCUGCAAAGGACGCCUCCAGCGAUAACAUUCCUAGCAAUUUCUGCAUCAUAGAAGGUCCGGAAACUGUUCAGGAUUUCGUUCAGAUGCAAGUGCAGGAAAUUCAAAAUAACAUAAGGAGUAGACGCAAUAAGAUCUUUCUCCUCAUGGAAGAGUUAAGGAGAUUACGGGUACAAGAACGCAUCAAGGCUGUGGAAGUGAUCAAUGAGAGCGACGAGGAAGAAGCAAAUCAUGAGAUGCCUGACAUUCCAUCUUCUAUUCCUUUCCUUUCUCAUGUGACGCCGAAGACGUUGAAGCAGCUGUAUUUGACUAGCUUAUCAUUUAUAUCUGGGAUAAUCCUAUUCGGUGGCCUUAUUGCACCAACAUUGGAGUUAAAAUUAGGUUUGGGCGGCACCUCGUAUGAAUAUUUCAUACGCAAUAUGCAUUUGCCUUUGCAACUAAGCAUGGUUGAUCCCAUUGUGGCAUCCUUUUCGGGUGGGGCUGUGGGUGUCAUUUCAGCUUUGAUGUUAAUUGAAGCCAACAAUGUAGAGCAGCAAGAGAAGAAAAAAUGCAAAUAUUGCCAUGGAACUGGUUAUUUGGCCUGUGCUCGAUGUUCUGCAAGCGGUGUAUGCUUGAGUAUCAAUCCUCUCUCACUUUCCUCUGCUUCUGGUCGCCCUUUGCAAGUGCCAACAGCUGAAAGGUGUCCAAAUUGCUCCAGUGCAGGGAAGGUAAUGUGCCCGACUUGCCUGUGCACUGGGAUGUUGAUGGCCAGUGAACAUGACCCACGAAUAGAUCCAUUUGAUUGAAGAUGAUUGGAUUUCUUUCCUUUCCUUGUCUUUUAAUUUAUAAUGUAGCUCGAUCGGAAAAAAAGAAACAAAGUAAACAGUCAUCGAACGGUAAUGCAAGUGAAAUGGCGAGAACUCUGAGAAACAAACAGGGUUUCCACCUCCUGAAUCGGGCCCUGAACUCACCCACUCCAGCUCAUCGUCUUGGAACCACAACACCUCUGCAAACCCUAGCUUACGAAGAAGUCCAA